rnacentral:rRNA from 1 species
UGGGGAAUUUUGCACAAUGGGGGAAACCCUGAUGCAGCGACGCCGCGUGAUUUAGAAGGCCUUCGGGUUGUAAAAAUCUUUUGUAUGGGAAGAAAAUGACAGUACCAUACGAAUAAGGACCGGCUAAUUACGUGCCAGCAGCCGCGGUAAUACGUAAGGUCCGAGCGUUGUCCGGAAUCAUUGGGCGUAAAGGGUACGUAGGCGGAUAAGCAAGUUAGAAGUGAAAUCCUAUAGCUCAACUAUAGUAAGCUUUUAAAACCGCUCAUCUUGAGGUAUGGAAGGGAAAGUGGAAUUCCUAGUGUAGCGGUGAAAUGCGCAGAUAUUAGGAGGAAUACCGGUGGCGAAGGCGACUUUCUGGCCAUAUACUGACGCUGAGGUACGAAAGCGUGGGUAGCAAACAGG